UUCAUACAGGAGGGGUGAAGAAUUAACGCACUGUAUAAGAAUGAAUGGACAAAAUAAGUAUAAGGAGUUCCAUUCGUGGGAUUACGAUCCUGUCGAACAGGUCGCCCCUAUUGACAAGCUGAAGUACCAUAUAAAUCUUGGUCUUGCUAGCAGCGAUCUGAAUCAAGAAGUAGUAAAAACAUGAUCAGUUACAAUACAAAUCAUAGAUGACAGGUUGAGCUCAAAACAAUAAUGCAAUUUUGGAUUUGCAGUAAUUGCAUCCCAGACCUAGAAUUGGAAAGAAAAUGAGAUGAAAAUAGAUGGUAACUUUACAACUGCACAUGAUAUUCACUCAUUUAGAAUAAAACAUCGCAAGUUUUUAAUAUCAGAUUAGUAAUCACAACAUCAAUUUAAAUAUGUUCCUGAUCACAGAUUCAGAGAUCAAUGCCUCUUGCAGGGCGCUAGCUACAACAGUUGCUACGAAAUCUCUUCGUUCAAAAGUUUCCUAAAACUUGGUAGAAAUUGUAUUAUAAACUCUGGUAAAGUCAGCAUCACUAAAUGAAGACUGGGAGCCAAUAAAGUAAAACUACAAUUGCUUACCUUGCUUAUUUUUGUGAGUUUAUCAGGAAGUGCAUAAAGGAAUGCUGCCAUCAAUCCAUUUAGGACCGUGAAAAUGUUAUUUUUUGAGCUGUGGUCUUUGCCUUUACCGAGGUAGGGGGUUCAUAUUCUUUCGAGGCUAUAUGGGCCUCUUGCCAACAGACGAAUCAUUGUUAUUGGAUUGUUCCAUUGUAGCAUCACUUAGCUGCCUCGACAUUGCUUCCUGAUGAUAGAGACAAAGAAGAAAUGUUUACUGUACAUGAACAAACACAUUAUGCUAUACACCACAAGGACACAACUCUCUGUUGUACACAUGCAAAAUGGUUACACAACAAUGCUACCUAAAUGGGUGACAUCAAUCUUUUAUCUAUUCAUGGAUCAGUUAUGUGGGAAGACAACUGAUAGAGUGCUUGACACCUUGUACUUCGUUAUUGUCACAAAAUCAAAUAAUCAUAUUGCAGUAGAUUGAAACCUGAUGGAAAUAAACACAAUAAUCUCCUCUAAUCCUAGGCUGUUGUUUAUAUAACAAAAUCAAAUAAUUAUAGACUGUUAUUCACCGAUUUUUCACUAACAAAUAUAAGCUCAUCACAAACCAAAGGAUAAGAAUUAUCAAACCUGCAUGACAAUAGAUGCUGAAAUUUGAUGACUUAUCCCCAGCUAGAAAAAGAAAGGUUUGGUUCUGAGAAGAAAUCGCCAAGGUCAUAUGCACGAAGGUAACUACAGGCUAUUAGAUUCCCCAAAAAAACCCAGGCACAGCUCGCCAGCGUGUAAUCCGAGGGAGGAAUGGAAUAGAC
rnacentral:lncRNA from 1 species